rnacentral:rRNA from 1 species
UACGAAGGGGGCUAGCGUUGCUCGGAAUCACUGGGCGUAAAGCGCACGUAGGCGGACUCUUAAGUCGGGUGUGAAAUCCUGGAGCUCAACUCCAGAACUGCCUUCGAUACUGAGAGUCUUCGAGUUCGGGAGAGGUGAGUGGAACUGCGAGUGUAGAGGUGAAAUUCGUAGAUAUUCGCAAGAACACCAGUGGCGAAGGCGGCUCACUGGCCCGAUACUGACGCUGAGGUGCGAAAGCGUGGGGAGCAAACAGG